ensembl:lncRNA
CGUCUCACAGCGAUGGGCUCAGGCUCUCGGCAGAGCCAGGCAGCGUGGCUGCAUCAGUCGGGCUGGGGGAAGCUCCCCCGUCUCACGGCGACGGGCUCAGGCUCUCGACAGACCCAGGCAGCGUCGCUGCGUCAGCCGGGCUCGGGGAAGCUCCCCUGUCUCACGGCGACGGGCUCAGGCUCUCGGCAGACCCAGACAGCGUCGCCGCAUCAGCCGGGCUCGGGGAAGCUCCCCCGUCUCACGGCGACGGGCUCAGGCUCUCGGCAGACCCAGGCAGCGUGGCUGCGUCAGUCGGGCUCGGGGAAGCUCCCCCGUCUCACGGCGACGGGCUCAGGCUCUCGACAGACCCAGGCAGCGUCGCUGCGUCAGCCGGGCUCGGGGAAGCUCCCCUGUCUCACGGCGACGGGCUCAGGCUCUCGGCAGACCCAGACAGCGUCGCCGCAUCAGCCGGGCUCGGGGAAGCUCCCCCGUCUCACGGCGACGGGCUCAGGCUCUCGGCAGACCCAGGCAGCGUCGCCGCAUCAGUCGGGCUCGGGGAAGCUCCCCCGUCUCACGGCGACGGGCUCAGGCUCUCGGCAGACCCAGGCAGCAUCGCUGCAUCAGUCGGGCUUGGGGAAGCUCCCCCGUCUCACGGCGAUGGGCUCAGGCUCUCGGCAGACCCAGGCAGCGUCGCUGCAUCAGCCGGGCUUGGGAAAGCUCCCCCGUCUCACGGCGACGGGCUCAGGCUCUCGGCAGACCCAGGCAGCGUCGCUGCAUCAGUCGGGCUCGGGGAAGCUCCCGUCUCACGGCGACAGGCUCAGGCUCUCGGCAGACCCAGGCAGCGUCGCUGCCUCAGUCGGGCUCAGGGAAGCUCCCCGUCUCACGGCGACGGGCUCAGGCUCUCGGCAGAUCCAGGCAGCGUCGCUGCAUCAGCCGGGCUCAGGAAAGCUCCCCCGUCUCACGGCGACGGGCUCAGGCUCUCGGCAGACCCAGGCAGCGUCGCUGCAUCAGCCGGGCUCGGGGAAGCUCCCCCGUCUCACGGCGACGGGCUCAGGCUCUCGACAGACCCAGGCAGCGUUGCUGCGUCAGUCGGGCUCAGGGAAGCUCCCUCAUCUCACGGCGACGGGCUCAGGCUCUCGGCAGACCCAGGGACAGGUGCUUUCCAGCAUGUUACACACUGGCCUUGACUAGCAACACAGAUCAAUGCGCUUCCCUCCCAGCCCAGCCCAGCCCAGCCGGCUUGGAGCUCCGAGGCCCCGAGCAGGAAGCGGGUUGCUGUUGACGGAGCUGCCAGCCAGGAGCAGACAAGGCCGAGAAAAGNUUGCUGUUGACGGAGCUGCCAGCCAGGAGCAGACAAGGCCGAGAAAAGCUGGGCCCGUUCCCAGUGGCCGCCCCGUGACCGUGACAUGUCAGCGGAGUGGAGCGAGGCGAGCCGAGCCAGGCCUGCACUCAGCCCUUGUUUACCCCGCUGCGGGGAUCAAAGCAGCCAGUGUUGCGGGCGAGCUGGCCUGGCAAUCCAACUGAGCACUCCUGCCAGUGAUUUGCCAGGUGGGGAAAGUGAGGCACAGAACUGGGAGGGGGGAGAAGGAAGCUUGUAGGGCAGAGCCAAUGAGACUUCGCUGCUCUCCUAAUCUCUAGGUGUUGGCUUUCCCACAGGAGGCCUGCCUGAGUCUACAGAAAACCCGAGAC